GCAGACUCACAGCUGGGAGAUCAGGCCCUGAGCAGAAACCAAGCAUCCUGCACUCAACCAACUAAAAUAAAUGGGGGAAGGGAGAGAGAGAAACCAAAGGAAUCUUCAUUUUCUUCACACCUUGAAGCCAACAAUGACAAGAAAGAUUAGCUCUUAAAGGGCUUUAUGAGUUUGCUCUCUCAUAAAACACAUCAUUGUUACACUCAAUGAAGACAGAAAGGAGGGAUUUUGAAUCCUUUAAACUUGUUCAUGUAUUUUACUGGAAAAAAAAUUACUGUUUUGUGCCUGUACGACCUGGAGGAUAAUAUCAUGUUCACAGACAUUUAAUUCAAGCCAGGAUCAAUGGAUGAACAGAAAGAGAGAGCACUUGACGUUCCUACCCCACCUUAAUGUUACUUAAACAACAGGUGCCUCAAAUUCUGGAUCCUCUGGUGCUUCAGUGAAGACAAUGCUUACCUUGUAUUAUGGCCAAGAGAAUGACAAUCACGAAGAAGAAGAAGGUGAUGUCAAAGAUGAUUCGAUAGAUCUCAUAUUCAUCGCCUGCUGGGUCUUCGAUUUCAUCACCGAUCCCUCCUCCAGCACGUACCCCGACAUACAUGUGGAACAUAUAGCACUAGAAAGGAGAGAAACGGUCACUGCUUGAGGAACACUGCUAAGCUAAGAUUCUCCCUCUAGUUCCUAAUCCUCACUCUGGAAAUGACAUGCACAGCUGGAGACAAGACCAUGGAAUGACGCUAAAUUACCAAAACUAAGGAAACUUUUUCUUAAGAUACCUGUGACUUGUAGAAGUGUAAAAAUACUCACUUGUAAACAAAUCAAAGCAUUCAACCUUUCUCUCUACCCAUACCCUCAAAUUCAAAGGUCUCAGUAAGUAUUCUUUCUUCCAUGAUAAUCCUGGUCAUUUGCAUAAAUUCAGUAAGAAUCUGUUCCUGUAACAGGACACCAUUGGAAACAUGGGUCAUUUUACCAAGGCUUUGACUGGAAUGUCAUAUUUGAGAAAGAUAUGCACAGACUCAGAUAUGACCCGACAGCUUUAAGGAAUUGAGGUUGGCUUUAUGAAACCUGGAGCCACAAAGCCCCUAGGAACUGUUGGCCUGAUAUCUUGCUUACAUGGUCCCAGCAGCCUCACCAAGUGAGUAAAGAAUGUCCUUCCUUGCAGGUGCAGGAACCUCAGGAUACUCUGGGGACCUCAGGAAGAGGAAUUCCACCCAACUCCACAGAGACACUUCUUUACUGUCAGUGUUGGAUUCAGCUGCCUCCAUCUUUUGUAACUCCCCUAAAUAGUCCCCAACUGACCAAUGUUGACCGGAGUAGGUAGGGACAACUCUAUGCCCUAUUCAGCAGGAAGAUGUUACAGAAGAUGAGACCUUCCACCUUCAAGAACCUUAAAGAUUUAAGCUACCUACUUUCCUGUUGUAUGGAUUUGCCAUAAAUGACUUAAUCGGGACUCUUGAUAAUUGUGGUAGCAGCAAGUAUCCUUGGACAUAAAGGAGCAUAUUCGUAAAUAAACAUUUACAUCACUACUAGUAGUAGAACUGACAAGGAAAAGGAAACUGCACUGUGAAGAAUAAAGACAUGUUGAAAGGUGACUGGCCAAAGAGAAGCCAUGAAUCUUCAGGAAGAUGAAUGAUGUAUCAUAGUAAUAUAUCAGGAAGAAAUCUGCCCAUGCGCCGAUUCUCUGGACGAGAACUGCAGGGCAAGGGAGUAUUACACAAUGCAAGUACUGUGGCAUAUGAGGGGGUGAAGAAGGACAGACCUCCAGAGGCCAAGAUGGCAGGGCUACUUGAAUGGAAAACACCAGUGCUGGAGGUGUGUGAGGAUGGUAAGAGGAUUAUGAGCCAGCAGGAGGGGAUGAGCUGAGACCCCAGGGCAAAAGUGUAGUUGAUCCAUCCAGCAGAGUUUCAGGACCAUCUCCAGCAACUUCCCAUAGAAAGCAAAUGGAAGCAUAAAAGCAGGAGCCCAGCAGACUCCUCUAAUGUGAGUGUGGUGUACUUUAUGGAAAUGAAGGAGGGCUUACGUUGUCAGUGAAGACGACUCCGAGUUUCCACAUCUGAUACUUCACGUCGAUAGAGUUCAAUCUGGAAAGACAAAAAAGAAGAAUUUGUAGGUCACAGCAAGCUUACAGCGUUUUAGAUAAUACCCUCAGCAGAACAAGAUUUCUUACUCAAGAGGGAGGCAUGCAAAAGGAAGAGAGUAGGCCAAAUAUGUAAGAGAAGAAGUAGAAGAAGAUGGAAUGAAAGGAACUUCACCCAAAUUCCUACUUUGUGCCAGGAAUCAUGGUAAGAACUUUGACUUGCUCUCCCUCACAGGAUUGUCACAGUAUAUAACUUUCCUGUUAUUAGGAUCCUACUCUGCAGAUAAAGAAGUUGUGUCUCAGAAAACAGAACAUGCUCAAGGUUGCUAAGCUUGGCAAGACAUGGAGUGAGAAAGCUAUCAGGCAGGAGCUGACUCGCGGCCAAGACUGGCUGGGAUAAGCUGAGUGGUGGUUCCCUCUGGACUGUGUUCUCACCUCAUUCCCAGAAGAACAAACUGGGCAGCACAUGUGUGUGCGCACACACACACACACACACAGCAGGAGUGUCACGAAUAGUCCUGCUGCAAUUACUGUUCAUCUGAUCCUGAAUAUGCAGUUUCCUUCUGAGAAACUUGUGCUUUAACAAUUUAAAGCUGCUUCUUCAUUAAAUAAUUAAGGAGACUAAAAUGAUCAAAUUAUCUAUUUUAAAUUAUUUAAAAAUAAGUCUUUCAAUGUUUGGCCUAGUUUGGAUGUGCUCUUAGGCAGUAGCUCAGUGCUACUCACAAUGCCAGGUCACACAAAAAACUUGCACCAAAAUAAAAAACACACUACUCUCAACUAGAAGGGGGGAAAAAAGGUCAAUGGUUUCAUCAUGUACCUGAUUUAAACUUGUGGUGCAAGCCCUCCAUCUGCCCUGAGACUGGUAAUAGAGGAUUCGCAGCUGCUCCUGGAGAACCGUCCUGAGUAACACUGAAUUGGUGAAAUCUAAGGGAACAAGACCACUUCAUGUGGCCGGUACUUCUGCCUGUUCACUCCACAGAGCAUCCUCUGGGGCUAGAACCCAUGAAGGAGCAGAGGGUGAGCUGGGUCAGUUUGGCAAUUAGAAAGGUUCAAAGAAUAAGUAGGAGCUAGAAUGUAAUCACUAGAGUAUUUUACAACAUACAAGUAAUGGUGCAUAUAUUUCAUUCAAAAAUUUGAUCUAACAUUAAAAUUCUGUGUGGGAAAAGCAGAGAUGAUCCUUGACUCAAAAUCAGAGACAUAGCAGGUGCCACAGUGGACUACUGACUCUGUAUCAGUGUUCUUUCCACUACACUCUGAGGCAGUGGGCAUUAGAAGGAUAAAACGUGAUGAAA